GAUGCCGCCGUGCCGUGUCCCCCCGGCCCGCAGAGCCGCGGCUCGGGGAGAACAAAAGGCAGGAGCGGGAGGAGGCGCGGGGAGGAGGGUAGGCGGCCACGGGGGGGGAUAAAAGGCUCAACGGGGACCCCACUCCCUCCUUUCUCGCUUUACCCCAUGUCCGAUCCCGCUCCGUCGCCCGGCAUGGCCCGUCCGCCGCUGCCCGCCGCCGCGUUGCUGGCCGCCGCUCUGCUGCACUGCGCGCCCGCCGCGCCCGCCCGCCGCCACAAGCCGGUGAGUCGGGAUCACCCGGUGCCUCCUUUCCCCUCUCCAUGAUGUCCCCCUUGUCCCGCGGGGAGCAUCUCGCUGGACGGGAUGAGCCGCCCUCCCUGUCCAUCCCCAAAUCGCCCUCGGGAUGCCGGUAGGGGCGGCGAUGCGCUGCUGGGAAUCACGGGUGUCCCUGCGGGAGCCACCGCUCCGCGGGCUCCUCUGGGCAUGUCCUUUCUGUGGAGCCAGGGAGAAACAGGGAUCGGGACAAGGAGUGUUUACGGGAGGACACGGGAUCCCCCCUUCCUUUAAAGGCAGCGGAGUUCGCAAAGAAACCCCCCCGCCUGCUGUGCGGGCAGUGCCGAGAAGUUACGGGCAGACGAGGCUCAAGGAGUGAAUCCAACGCGCAGCAGAAGGGGAGCAGCAGGGCUCUUUUUUCCUGCAUAUGCCUGCCAGAUCCCAGCACCUGGGAUGGAGCUGCGAGCAGCAGGGACUGCUGGAGAGGAGCAGCGAGAGGUUCGGGGGACAAGGAGAAGACAGAGAGCUCCUUGUGCCGGCAAUGUGUGUGUGUAAUGGGGUUAUUAUAUACACGCGCUUCACUGCUGUGCUAUAAAAUAAUGACAGAGCAAAUGCCCGUAGCAGCCCAAGGGGAUUAGUUCAGGUUCUGUCGAUGGUUUUACUAUCAGCUCUGUCAUCUGAGUACUUUCUAACUUGGCUGCUAAAUAUGCUGUGGGCUGGGACUUGGCACAGAGCAGCCUUGGCCCCCAAAGUGCUCAUGUUAUUCCAAAUGACAUGUCACUGCACUUGGCUCCGCUCAGCCCCUGAGGAAGGUGAGACUGAGCUCUCGGGUGGUGGUACACUGCACCCCAGUCACCACACUGCUCUGCAGGGUUCAUCGUCAUCUGAGUGCAGCCAGAGGUGGGCUGGGAGGGCAGAGUUCCACCUGCGGAAAGCUGGAGACCACCGGUUCCUGCAGGAUGUUUGUUGGGCUUGCGGGUGCUCCAUGCUCUGCUUUGUGCAAGCUGUGAAGCUGCUGCUCCUGCAGGGACCUGCUCAGCCUCUGGUCCUGGUCUUGCUGCCAGCAAGGACCUGUGUGGGAUCCCCGGGGAAGGGAGAGCCAGCCCAGGUUUCACACUGCCUGAACUUGGGUCUGGUCCAGCUGUGAUGUGCGCUGUUCAUCUCUUCGCUCGUGCUCACAGCUGCUGACUGACUGCAGAGGCUGCUGGGGCUCAUUUGCCUUGGCCAGUGCCCCUUAAAUGGGGGGAAGAUACCAAACUGCUGAAGAGCACAGAGUUAAUGCAGGGGUCCAGGUCUGCUCAGACUCCUGGUCUGUUUAAUCCACCACCAUGCUCCUGAAGAAGGUCCCCUCAGCUGGCAGUCUGCUGCCCAGUGAUGGUUUCUUCCUCAUCCCAGGCUAGUGCAUUGUGAGUACUAAUACUUUCCUCUUAGCUGGAGUAACUCCAGGUGAUGCUCCUUCAGGUAUGUUUUGUUCAGGAACACCUUGUGCUCCUGUGUUUCAACAGCCGUGUGGAGCUCAGGGUUUCAGAUCAAUGUGUGUCACUCGGUCUUUGCAGAGAUGGUGGCUGCAUUGGUUUGUGGUUGGAGGUGGACAGAUGAUUUCCUAGCCUUUCAAAUAGCAGGUCUCUUAUUCCAAAUAGCUGCCCUUUUGGGUUCCUUGUCUGGUGUCAAGGCUUCUGAAGGUUAUUCUACUGCCUCUGAGGUAAAGCCAGCAUUGCAGUGGUUGCUCUCACAUAUGACAUAAGUUGACAGCAGUGCGACCCAUUCCUGUCCCGGCUGGGAUACGGAUGUCAGCACAGAACAGCUGAGGUGGGAUUGCUGGGCUGACAGUACCCGGUACCUGUGUUUCUGCCCUCAGCGCUUCUCUACCCUCUUCUUACUAGAGAGCUCUGCCAUGUCAUUGCAUGUUCACUUCUCUGGCUACUUUGAGUCCACACAAAGAGAUGUUUCCCUUGUCUAACAGCAGCUGAUUUCCUGUCUGGGCACCUUUUGCUGUUGGGUGAUGAAUGAGAAAGGAGCUGAGGGGCUGAGCUGCGUAAAGAGACUCAUGUUCCUAAAAGACAGAUAACAGUGACUUCCUCAAGCUGUGCUAGUAGAUGGGGUGGACAAGGACAGCACUAGGUGCAGUGCUGCACUGUACAUGCUGCACAGUACGUGCUGCACCGUAGCUAUUCAGUUCUCCAUUAACAAGUCACAGGAGCAGUAAGUGAGGGAGGAAAGAAUUGAGGGCUAAAAUUUAUUUUAAAGCCAGGCUACCCAGGGCAAGUUGCAGAAGGACCUCUGUUCUUUGUAGCAAACCCUGUAGAUAUCCUUCAUUUUUACAUUAAUGCCUAAAGAAAGAAA
rnacentral:lncRNA from 1 species